UUCUUACCUUCAAAGUUUAAGGGGGCUGAUGAAAGGAAAGAACCAAAGGGUUACUUUGUAAAUAAAUUAUGGUCUGAGAAGCUUUCAAUCUUAGCAGGACUCAGCGAAUCAACUACACUUGUUUCCUCUACCUGAAAGAAGUAAGUGAGCCAGCAUAGCUGAUGAUGAUCCCUGGCAUGAAGUCUGCUCACCUAGAAUACCUGUGAGUGAGGAGAAAGACUGAGCAAGCUAUUGCCAUGGGGCAGAGACUGAUCACAGAAACAGGACUGAGAAGGAAGCAUUCUUUCUUGUAAAAAAGCAGAGGCAGAUUUUAUUUGCAUUGUGUCUUCACAGUGGAUAAUGGCCAGGACAUUCUAGGGAGAAAAUCUGAAAUGUUUAAGGGAAGAGGAGCCUACCUUUGCCCUGUAUUUUCUAAAGGAAGACAAUGGAUCUGGAGUCCUUGUCUCUCUACUGAGUGAGAAGGAAGAACUUUAUUCUUGUGGGCCAAAGGAUUACACUGGGGAGCAUAGUCCUCAAACAGAUUAUACAAGCUGCUCUGAUUUCUCAUGGAAAUUAAAAAGCCUUGAAAGAUCCCUAUAUCCAUGACACAUGUAGACAGCCUGUUUUGAAAGUUUUAUUCCAGGUUUUUCCUUGGACAUAUUGCAAAAGAAAAGAAGAGAGUGAGAGUGCAACAAAGAAGUAAAAGAGAACUUGACAAGAAGAUAGGGAAUGAAAGAAAGAGGACAUUAUCAGAAGAAAAAGAAUAUCACAAUAAAAUCCAGGAUGUUUAUGUGUGAAGGUGCAAGUUUAAUGCAGGUGGUUAAAGUGAAGCAUGAAGUGAAAAACAUAUCACUGAGAAAGAAAAAAGGCUGUGUAGAAUAUGGUUCAAAGAGAUACUUUAAUAUUUUCACAUUAUAAAAGAGCUAUUUCAUUAAAGCUGAUUCCAGUUCAAUGAUUUGAUUUUUAAGUCCUGAAGUGAAAGUGGCAAAUACUUUUCCAGGUUUAAUUUUACUUUCAACAAAUUGGAAGCAUUGUAAAAAUAGACUUAAAAUUUGAUAUUAAGGGAAAGAAAAUAUGACACUUUUGUCAAUUUAAUAUAAAAUAUAAACAUUUGUUGUUUGGAAACUUUGUAAGCCAAACUACAGCAUUUUUCAGAAUUGUGUAACAUAAUGUGUUUGCUACAAUGGGA